rnacentral:sRNA from 1 species
AUUAAACAAAAUGUGAGUGGUGCAGUAUCCUAGUCAGUGUAUUAUUCUUGAAGACGGGCCUAAAAAUCCGUCAGCGGGCAUAUCGAUGAAGUUCUUUACAUCGGCUGCUGACGCCCAGUCGGGAGCUGAUGUAGGGAGUUAAGGGUUUGGGGCGAUCCACAAUGGCAUGUGGGCGUUGACCCCUUUCCCGUGGAGGCCUGGUAUUUAUUCCAGCUUGGAAUAAAUCUAGGUUAACCUGCCCAGCCGUAAGGUUUGGGUAGUGUAGCCUGCUUUGAGUGGUACUGGAGACAGUAGCAAAACAUAUAAUUUUGGAUCCAAAUUAUAUGUUGAACCUGCUGGAAACCUUUACUGCAAAAGAAGCUAGGGAGUAGUUUAAACACUGUUAAGGAAAACUUCUAGGCUGUCUGCUAGUCAGGAUACAGUGGAGAUUAAAGUGUGGUCUGAGUGGUAAUCCAGUUCUAUAUAAGGGUAACCAUAUAGUCGAAAUUUAAUGAGAAAUCGCCUGUUCUGGUGACAGAAGGGGGUAUUUCGGGGGAAAACCUACUGGACCUAAGCCACAGCAUUUAUUUGCUGUAUCACCACUCACAAAUUUUUUGAA